rnacentral:tRNA from 1 species
GAAGGUAUAGCUCAGUGGUAGAGCGUGUGCUUAGCAUGCACAAGGUCCUGGGUUGAAUCCCCAGUACCUCUA